UACGUAGGGGGCAAGCGUGUCCGGAAUCAUUGGGCGUAAAGAGCGCGUAGGCGGCCCUGUAAGUCCGCUGUGAAAGUCAAGGGCUCAACCCUUGGAUGCCGGUGGAUACUGCAGGGCUAGAGUCCGGGAAGAGGCGAGUGGAAUUCCUGGUGUAGCGGUGAAAUGCGCAGAUAUCAGGAGGAACACCGAUGGCGAAGGCAGCUCGCUG
rnacentral:rRNA from 1 species